UAACGAAUCUUCCGCAAUGCGCGAAAGCGUGACGGGGCAAUGCCGCGUGUGGGAUGAAGCCCUUCGGGGUGUAAACCACUGUCAGGGUGCAGGAACUCAAUGACCAUACCCAAAGGAAGCACCGGCUAACUCUGUGCCAGCAGCCGCGGUAAUACAGAGGGUGCAAGCGUUAAUCGGAAUCACUGGGCUUAAAGCGUUCGUAGGCGGGCUUGCAGGCGCGUUGUGAAAGCCCCCGGCUCAACCGGGGAACUGCUUCGCGAACCGCAAGUCUUGAGUCAAGUAGGGGCGGUCGGAACGAUAGGUGGAGCGGUGAAAUGCGUAGAUAUCUAUCGGAACGCCAAAGGUGAAGACAGGCCGCUGGGCUUGUACUGACGCUGAGGAACGAAAGCGUGGGGAGCAAACGGGAUUAGAUACCCCCGUAGUCC
rnacentral:rRNA from 1 species